CUGUCGAGGUCCCCACCCAGCCGGCUACAGGAAAUGCUGUGUUUUCCAAGAGCGCGCCCGAGUCCCGCCCGCCCGGGGCGCAGCGAAGCUCAGUGGCGCCCCCUGGAGGCGCGCGGCUGCCGGCUCCGUCGCGCCUGGGCGCGGACGCGGCGCUCUUCCACGCGCCUCUCGCGCGCUGCGGUAGCCCCUCGGCGGAGCUGCCCAGGUGUCUUCCGAAGUGAACGCCAACUGACCGAGGACCGAGGACCAGACAGAUGACACCCCUCCUUAGGACUUGGUUCGGCGAAAGUCCCCUCCAGAGGCCAGCCGCCACCCCCAGGGAGAGUUGCAAACCCCCAGAUUGACUCAGGAUGAGGAGUGUUCCCGUGUCUCAGGUCUGGUCGCUGCUGCUUCCUCUUUGGGUUCCGACAGUCCACCCAGCCCUCAUCCUUCCUUGGGCUCCCAGGGCGAGGGCCGUGCCCCUCAUCGCCACCCUGAUGUCCAUCCACUGAUGAAUGGGGAAAAUGUGGCCCACCCUACAGUGGCCUCCGAUUCAGCCACGAGAAGGAAUGGAAACUGACCCCUGCUACAUGUGGAUGAACCUGAAACACCUCCUGCUAAGUGAAAGCGGCCAGACGCAAAUGUCAUGUAUUAUAUGUUUCCGUUUCUAUGAAACAUCCGGAAGGGUUGAAUCCGCAGAGGCUGAAAACAGAUGAGUGGUUGCUGGGGACCAGGUGGAAGGGAGAAAUAGGGAGAGACUGCUUAACGGGCAGUCCUUUGGCGGGUGAUGGAAGUGUUUUGGAACUAGACCCAGAGGGUGAUCAUCCAACAUUGUGAAUGUACUGAAUGCCACUGAAUUGCACAUCUUAAAAACGGCUAAUUUUAUGUUAUGUGAAAUUUGCCCCAGUAGGAAUAAA